rnacentral:lncRNA from 10 species
CUCGGCGAAGUAGGGUCCCCAGCGGUCCCCAAAGGCAUUCUGCAAAGCCAGGUCCGACACAGUCCUAGGGCACUGGCCGUACAGGUCCCUCCGGGACCCAUGCCCCAUGCUCUCCUGGAAGCUCCGCUGGCGCAUAAAUUGGUCAUAGUCCUCCCUGGCUCUCAGAGGGGGCCUAUCUUUUAACCGGGAGAUGGCCUCGCGUUCGCUGGCCAGGUGGAGGGCGUUGUCGGAGCGAGAGCGUCGGGAACGCCUGGACCUGUGAGGUCGGAAACGGCGGUUGUCGUCGCGUGAAGUAGCUCUUCUCCGGGCAGAGCUCUCUAAGGAGAUGUUUAAGAAUGGGCCAGGUGGCAAAGUCUCAGCAUUUUCCACUCAUUACAUAUUGCAAGGAUCAGCAAUUUGCCAUUCCUGGUCAUAGACAACAUGCCUUUGGAUUGCAAUGGCCCAUUAUCACCCCUGCUACUGAUUAUUCCUGUCUCCUACUGGGGCCUCCAACUUCCUCUUCCGUGACAAAACCUAAAGCAGUGUUACGAGCACUUUGCAAAAUUACUUGGCAAUAUUUACUAAAGCUAAAUACACAUAUACGUAUAUGAAUUAUAAAUAAAGCCGCUCUGAAUAUCCUUGGC